rnacentral:rRNA from 1 species
GACGAACGCUGGCGGCGUGCCUAAUACAUGCAAGUAGAACGCUGAAGAGAGGAGCUUGCUCUUCUUGGAUGAGUUGCGAACGGGUGAGUAACGCGUAGGUAACCUGCCUUGUAGCGGGGGAUAACUAUUGGAAACGAUAGCUAAUACCGCAUAACAAUGGAUGACCCAUGUCAUUUAUUUGAAAGGGGCAAAUGCUCCACUACAAGAUGGACCUGCGUUGUAUUAGCUAGUAGGUGAGGUAACGGCUCACCUAGGCGACGAUACAUAGCCGACCUGAGAGGGUGAUCGGCCACACUGGGACUGAGACACGGCCCAGACUCCUACGGGAGGCAGCAGUAGGGAAUCUUCGGCAAUGGGGGCGACCCUGACCGAGCAACGCCGCGUGAGUGAAGAAGGUUUUCGGAUCGUAAAGCUCUGUUGUAAGUCAAGAACGAGUGUGAGAGUGGAAAGUUCACACUGUGACGGUAGCUUACCAGAAAGGGACGGCUAACUACGUG